UGUGAGUUUAACACUUCAUAACUCAACACAACACACAAAAUUAAACAUCAACAAUGACCUUCACCAUCAUCUUCAUCUGGACACUUUUAUUCUCAUUACAAGGUUGUAAAUCACAGUAUACAGUAACUCAAAGUCCUUCAGUGAAAACUGCAGCACGAGGAGACUCUGUUACUAUGAACUGUAAAGUUAGUUCUCCUCCACCCUGUAACCUACCCUGUGUGUCCUGGUACUUACAGAAACCUGGAGAAGCUCCUAAACUCCUGAUAUAUGCUACAAACACACGCCAGUCUGGAACUCCAUCAAGAUUCAGUGGCAGUGGAGUAUAUGGUGGUACAGAUUUUACUCUGAGCAUCAGUGAAGUUCAGACUGAAGAUGCAGGAGAUUAUUACUGUCAGAGUUUUCACAAUCCUGGUAGCACACGAGUGUUCACACAGUGAUAAAGAGUCGUACAAAAACCUCCAUCAGUUAAAGAGGAACUACAGACACACAGGACUGGUUUUGCACACAAACAGAAACCCCAUUCUCUUUUUAAAACUAAAGUUUGAAUAAAACCCCCAAGAUAAGUCAAAUAUGAAUAUGAUUUAUAAAAACUGAAACAAUACAUCACAAAGGCCUAUAGAUGGUUUUAUCUUAUGGUUGUUGCCAUUGUUAAGUGUCUGGCCCGAUGUUAACUUCUGGUGUGUGUUUGUUAA